AGGGGAGUUGUGCUUGACUUCGCAAAUUGCAUCAACAAUAUUUAUCAACCCUGAUAUACAACUUGCUAAGGACAUGCGAGAAUGGGCUCUUUCAAAAGAGAAGAUAAAGACAAAUGAUGCUCCGUCAAGGCUAUUUAAAAAUGCAACGAAAAUGAAUAUUGGUGACAUUAUGCAAGCUUCACAAGAAUCAUCCAAGAUAUGUUGUCAAAAUCAUAGUGGAAGACGAAACAGACAA